rfam:Ananas comosus cultivar MD2 ACMD2_Scaffold_747, whole genome shotgun sequence.
UGAGAUAAGCGAUAUUGGUGAGGUUCAAUCCGAUGAUGGGCUUUACGUGCGACAGUAAACCAAUCUCAGAUUGAGCCGCGCCAAUAUCACUUCCUCUGCA